CGAACGGGGAGAUUCAUCGUCAGCGGACGCCGGCUUCGCGUCGGUCGGCGAUGUCCCGCGGGGGCCCUCGCGGCUCUCAGCGCGGGCACGCUGCCGUGCGCCGAUGUAUCCGGCUUCGCCGUCGUGCACUUCUCCCCUGGUAGAACGUCGCGACCCGCUGGGUGUCGGUCUACGGCCCGGGUGCGGUGUCUGACGCGCCGCCGGUAAAACGGCGCGCGUCAAACCCCCGGUCGCCCGGCCGGCUGCCCGGCGGUACGCGCAAGGUAUCAGGCCGCACACACAUUGGUGCGUCGAGGCCGUCGCAAGCGCGCGCCACGGUACACGGAGGUACGGACCUAGCGCCGUCACCGGUCCUGGCCCGCUGUUGGUCGUACGGUUAACCUUCGACAGGCCUACGAACGUCCCAGCGUGGGGGUGUCGGGGGCUCGUCUCCCGCGCGCUCUCGCGUUGGCGACCGAUACCGGUCAGCGACGCUACUGCUUUGGGUACUCUUAGGACCCGUCUUGAAACA
rnacentral:rRNA from 1 species